CCUACGGGAGGCAGCAGUGAGGAAUAUUGGUCAAUGGACGAGAGUCUGAACCAGCCAAGUAGCGUGAAGGAUGACUGCCCUAUGGGUUGUAAACUUCUUUUAUAUGGGAAUAAAAUGUUCCACGUGUGGGCUUUUGUAUGUACCUUAUGAAUAAGGAUCGGCUAACUCCGUGCCAGCAGCCGCGGUAAUACGGAGGGUCCGAGCGUUAUCCGGAUUUAUUGGGUUUAAAGGGAGCGUAGGUGGGUUGUUAAGUCAGUUGUGAAAGUUUGCGGCUCAACCAUAAAAUUGCAGUUGAUACUGGCAGGCUUGAGUACAGUAGAGGUGGGCGGAAUUCGUGGUGUAGCGGUGAAAUGCUUAGAUAUCACGAAGAACUCCGAUUGCGAAGGCAGCUCACUGGACUGCAACUGACACUGAGGCUCGAAAGUGUGGGUAUCAAACAGGAUUAGAUACCCCAGUAGUC
rnacentral:rRNA from 1 species